rnacentral:rRNA from 1 species
GAUGAACGCUGGCGGCGUGCUUAACACAUGCAAGUCGAACGAAGCAUUUCGGUCUUAAUCUUCGGAAGCAGACUGAUCUGACUGAGUGGCGGACGGGUGAGUAACGCGUGGGUAACCUGCCCUGUACAGGGGGAUAACAGUUAGAAAUGACUGCUAACACCGCAUAAGCGCACAGGAAGGCAUCUUUCGGUGUGAAAAUAUUUAUAGGUACAGGAUGGGCCCGCGUCUGAUUAGCCAGUUGGCAGGGUAACGGCCUACCAAAGCAACGAUCAGUGGCCGGCUUGAGAGAGUGAACGGCCACAUUGGGACUGAGACACGGCCCAAACUCCUACGGGAGGCAGCAGUGGGGAAUAUUGCACAAUGGGGGAAACCCUGAUGCAGCGACGCCGCGUGAGUGAAGAAGUAUUUCGGUAUGUAAAGCUCUAACAGCAGGGAAGAAAAUGACGGUACCUGACUAAGAAGCCCCGGCUAACUACGUGCCAGCAGCCGCAGUAA